rnacentral:lncRNA from 1 species
GACGACAACUAAGCACGAGUUGUAAACAACUAGCACGAGUUGUGAACAACUAAGCGUAGGUUGUAAAGUAAUGCCACUUGAUCUUAAGGAGGUUUAAGUUUUGCCUAUAAAUAGAGAUGGAAGUCUCAUUUGUAAAUCAUGUAGAGUUGAGUGAGUUUAUUCAUUAGAGAGAUUGUAAAGUUUUCCCUUUCAUUUAUACAAAGAAAAUUUCCCGACCUUACUUGUUUUUCAUAUAUCCCUUACUUCAAAAUUCUCUUCUUAACGUAGGUAUAAUUUAGCUUCCUUGAUUAAAUUAUUUGUAAGCGUGAAAAGGCUGACUUAACGUUUUCUCGUAAGGUGCGUGAAUUGUCAUGCGUUAAGGCCACACGAUUCUAGUUGUUCGAGUGUAACGAAACUAGGUCCCUGACACCAUGCUCUUGAUCGAACUGUCGAGACUAUUAGGGUUUUCUAUAAUUUUGAGUGAUUUCUAGCUUGGGUCUCAAAUCUGUAAAAUUUGGACGAUUUAUGGUUCUAGUUAAUGCAGUGAUUUCUUCUGAUGACGGAAGCACAAAAAGGGAUUAGGAGCUUACUCUGAACCUCUUGCCCUAGAGCAAAAAUUUCUCGUUGUCUUUACUAUUUUUCAUUUUUGUUUAAAUUUCUGUCAUUUUUGGUUUGAUCAAUUUUGCCUGAUACCUUGAACUAAUCGUAACACUAACUUAUACUUUUCAUUAUGACCAUGAUUCAAUAAUACUUAAUGUCUCAACAGUAAUAUCAAAAUCUAUUUUUUGUGCAAAAAUAGGGUACUAGACUAAUAAAAGACACGAUUGACUGCAAAUAUGCUGGACUUGCUUGUAUGCUCGAACAAUUGAAAAGAUGCAUUACUAACGGCUUCAACAACCCUCCAUACAUGAAGGAAAAUGAGUACAGGGAAGAAUAAAAGCAUAAAGAAAUUACCUCUUCUUNGAGGAUCUAGGGAGAAACAAAUCAAAGAGAGCACCUCCCAUCGUCACAAAAUCUUUUGAGAAAGCGGUUGAAUCCAUUUUGGCGGUUCGAGUGGUGAGACGGAGAGGUGCUCCCCCUUGCACUCAAUACUUAAUCAAAUGGAAGGGAUUGCCCGAGUCCGAAGCUACUUGGGAAAAUGAGGGAGAUCUAUGGCAAUUUGAGUACGAGCUUCAGAACUACAUGGCGACGAGGGCGUCGCCAAAUUCGGUAGGGGAGUGACUUACGCCCCACGCGGUCGCGUUCGAUCCGUCCUGGUAGCGACCGCAAAACAGCGUAGACAGCACGCUGCAACAGGAUAGAAUGGACAGAAUGCAGGCUGCCUAAAAUUGUGCAGUUUUCCAUGGCGUUAAUGAGAUUUUUCUAAAUCCCGACCCAGCCAUUUUGGAGGAAAAAUACAUGAACCUGCAGCGGGAUAUUUUGUGAUGCAAGUAGGCAACUUGCACAACUUGUCCACUUGUGCCACUUGCAAGAUAUUAUCAGAGAUAAAAGCUAAGCGUGAGUUGGGGAAGAUAUUAUCAAAGGUGCAAGCCAAGCACGAGUUGACAAGAAUAAUAUCUACUAUGCAAGCUAAGAUCGAGUUGGCGACAACUUGCAAGGAAAGUUAUAAGCUUAUUCACUUGACGACAACUAAGCACGAGUUGUAAACAACUAGCACGAGUUGUGAACAACUAAGCGUAGGUUGUAAAGUAAUGCCACUUGAUCUUAAGGAGGUUUAAGUUUUGCCUAUAAAUAGAGAUGGAAGUCUCAUUUGUAAAUCAUGUAGAGUUGAGUGAGUUUAUUCAUUAGAGAGAUUGUAAAGUUUUCCCUUUCAUUUAUACAAAGAAAGUUUCCCGACCUUACUUGUUUUUCA